ensembl:lncRNA
UCCCAGUAAAAGGAGAAGUGAAGAGCCUCAGUGACUCGUUGACACAAACUCAUGAGAACAGAGAGGAACCUGAAAUUGAAAGAGUUCAGACAGUUGUUCAGACUCCAUUUUGAGUGGAAAGAAGUCUGAGGAGACAAACUGAAGUCUGAGGAGACAAACUGAAGUCCGAGGAGACAAACUGCAGACUGAGGAGACAAACUGAAGUCUGAGGAGACAAACUGAAGUCUGAGGAGACAAACUGAAGUCUGAGGAGACAAACUGAAGUCUGAGGAGACAAACUGCAGACUGAGGAGACAAACUGCAGUCCAAGGAGACAAACUGCAGUCUGAGGAGACAAACUGAAGUCUGAGGAGACAAACUGCAGUCUGAGGAGACAAACUGAAGUCCGAGGAGACAAACUGCAGUCCAAGGAGACAAACUGCAGUCUGAGGAGACAAACUGAAGUCCGAGGAGACAAACUGCAGUCCAAGGAGACAAACUGCAGUCUGAGGAGACAAACUGAAGUCUGAGGAGACAAACUGCAGUCCAAGGAGACAAACUGCAGUCUGAGGCUGGUGAGUGUUAAAACAACACUUUUCUCCUUUUAGUGUCCGAGUGUCUGAGUCAGUUUGUCUCUGUGGACUGUUGAGGAAAGAAAUGUGAGAAUGAAGUCGACAGUUUGAUUCUUCUGUGGACACAAAGUCCUGAUUGGCUGAAUAAAACACAUUAAACUACUGUAACUAAAGAAAAGGAGCCCAGAGGGAAAGAAACCUGACCAGGUGCUUUAUUACACUGUGUGUGUGUGUGUGUGUGUGUGUGUGUGUGUGUUGCUUCCUGUUCUGUGAACAAAGGGCCCACCACUCACUGUUUCUCCUCUCAGACUGACUUCAGAACAGAAGAUGAGUGUUCGUGUGGAGGAAGAGGAGGACAGAUCAGAACCUCCAGGAUCCAGCUGUGUGUCUCUGAAGAGUGACCGGUCCAAAUAUCGUCCUCCAGAAUUCAGUGAUGAACCUGGACCCUCAGACACAAAGAAGAGGAGUCAUGUCUCUGAGAAGAAGCAGCCGUCCUGCUGUGUUUGGUGUCAGGACGUCCUGAAGGAUCCGGUCUCUACCAGCUGUGGACACUGGUUCUGCAGACGCUGCAUCACCUCAGACUGGGUCCAGUCUGCUUCACCAGGAGACUCCUCCUGUCCCCAGUGUGGUGGUAAGAAUCAGACCAAGCUGGACUGUACAAAGGCAGACUGAACAUCUGACCAUGUGUUUACUUCCUGCUGCUUUUCAUGACUUUUAUUUAAACUUCCAAUAAGCUCAUUCAGCCAUGUGGACACAUAUAUUACCUGAGUGUGGACAGACGGAGAUGUAAACUGUAACUUGACUGGUUGGUGGAGGCAGAAACCACGAGGUUCUGAUUCUAGUUGACUGUCUACUGUAACUGAAGUCUCAUCAGAGCUUUGUUCCUCUGCUGUCAGUCAAACAUGAACACCGACACACAGUCAGAGGCCCAGAGACACAUUUCUGAUACUUCCUCUAAACUGGGCUUUAUAACCUUCAAUUCUUUAUAUACUCAUAU